rnacentral:rRNA from 1 species
AAAUUGAAGAGUUUGAUCAUGGCUCAGAUUGAACGCUGGCGGCAGGCCUAACACAUGCAAGUCGAGCGGUAGCACAGAGAGCUUGCUCUCGGGUGACGAGCGGCGGACGGGUGAGUAAUGUCUGGGAAACUGCCUGAUGGAGGGGGAUAACUACUGGAAACGGUAGCUAAUACCGCAUAACGUCGCAAGACCAAAGUGGGGGACCUUCGGGCCUCAUGCCAUCAGAUGUGCCCAGAUGGGAUUAGCUAGUAGGUGGGGUAACGGCUCACCUAGGCGACGAUCCCUAGCUGGUCUGAGAGGAUGACCAGCCACACUGGAACUGAGACACGGUCCAGACUCCUACGGGAGGCAGCAGUGGGGAAUAUUGCACAAUGGGCGCAAGCCUGAUGCAGCCAUGCCGCGUGUGUGAAGAAGGCCUUCGGGUUGUAAAGCACUUUCAGCGGGGAGGAAGGCGUUAAGGUUAAUAACCUUGGCGAUUGACGUUACCCGCAGAAGAAGCACCGGCUAACUCCGUGCCAGCAGCCGCGGUAAUACGGAGGGUGCAAGCGUUAAUCGGAAUUACUGGGCGUAAAGCGCACGCAGGCGGUCUGUCAAGUCGGAUGUGAAAUCCCCGGGCU